AUGGCGACACCGCCAAGGCAUGGGUGCAUGCUCCGCGCGGAGGUGGUCAUGUGUAUAUUCCUCGUCAUAGCACCGUUGAGCACGGCGAUCGGUGUCAACUAUGGCACCAAGGGUGACAACCUUCCGUCACCGGCCAAGGUUGCGGCAUUCCUCGUGACCCGCACAAACAUUGACCGUGUAAAGCUGUUUGACACCAACCCGGACAUUGUUCGGGCCUUCGCCGGCACGGGCAUCUCAGUAAUGGUCACAGCAGGCAAUGGCGACAUCCCUGGCCUCGCCACCCAGACCGGCGCCGACUCAUGGGUCGCUACCAACAUCGCACCAUACUACCCCGCGACAGAUAUAUCUCUCGUCGCCGUGGGCAACGAGAUCAUGGACAUGGCCGACAAGAAUCUCAUCGGCAAGCUCGUCCCCGCCAUGCAGAACCUCAAGGAUGCGCUCGUCACGGCUGGCUACAACAAAAUUCGUGUUUCCACGCCAAGCUCACUCAGCAUCCUGGUUGACUCCCAGCCGCCGUCCGCGGCUCGGUUUCGCGACGUCUGGGAUGACGCCAUCUUCACGCCGAUGCUUCAAUUUCUCCGGCAGACCAAGUCGCCACUCAUCGUCAACAUGUACCCGUACUUUGGGUACAACAGUGACACGCUACCGUACGCACUGGCGCGGCCGAACCCUGGGGUGCUAGACGCGGGCUCCGGCAUCAUGUACACGAGCAUGUUUGAGGCACAACUUGACUCGGUGUACUCGGCAAUGAAGAAACUUGGGUUUGAGGACGUGGAGAUCCUGGUGGGGGAGACCGGGUGGCCGACUAAGGCGGUGGACGGGCAGAUUGGCGUGAGCCCUGCCGAGGCGGCGGAGUACAACAAAUAUAUCAUUCGUGAGGUUAGUUCCGGGUCAGGCACACCGCUCAUGCCAAAGCGGAAGUUCGAGACGUACAUAUUCACGCUCUUCAACGAGGACCUCAAGCCCGGGCCCGUGGCCGAGCGCAAUUUCGGGAUGUUCCAGCCAGACUUCACGCCGAUGUAUGACAUUGGCAUCAUGAAAGAUCCGGUCAAAACAACAUCGGCGCCAGCGUCGGUCGUCCCAGCGGUGCCGCAGAAAGUGACAGCAAUGCCUAUGGUCGCUGCUGCUAAUGCGUUGGAGGCUGGAGUGCCUACAAAGGCGAACGGCUCGAACAACGCCUAG
rnacentral:rRNA from 1 species